rnacentral:sRNA from 1 species
ACACACUGUACCUACAGAGUACACACAUUAUACACACAGUAGGGGUACGUAUUAUACUGACACUUGUUUUUUCAUUAAAGAAAAUGCCUUGAGGCCUGUGGAUGUAGUUCAGUUGGUAGAGCGCUUGCUGAGCACGCCACGAGGGUGUGAGGUGGGGUGGUGGCUCUGCUCCCAUCCCCAGAACCACAGAAAGCAGGCACGAUGGCACAGGCCUCAAGUCCUGGCAUUUGAGAAGUGGAAGCAGGGAGAUCAGUUUAAGGCCACCCUAGGUUACACACAUUAUAGCUAGGCUGAGGCAAAUGAGCUCAAAAGAAAGAAGGAAGCGAGGGCUGAGGGAAGGAAAAGGAAAAAAAAUCUAAAAAACCUCUAUGGAGAACAGCUGGAUCUGCCUUGUUCCUGUUAAACACUUGAGUAUGCAUGGUGGCACACAUCUGUAAUCCCAGCACAUGUGAAGUAGAGGCAGGAGGCUCAUGAGUUCAAAGCUCCCAUAGGCUACACAGAAUUCUAGGAUAAACUGAGUAAGCUAUGUGGUAAGACCCCAACUCAAAAUCAAACACAAAAAUUUAAGACCCAAACAGCAAUUCCAUCGACUAGAGGCUUGUAAAAUACGUAGCUUGCAUAGAAAUGAAUAAAUUAAGAUACUGAGGCCCCACCUCAUUGUUACUCUCCAGAGGUACAUAGUUUUUAAAGAUUAUUUUUAAAAUUAUUUUCAGUUAUGUGCAGUGUGUGGGGAUAUGCAUCUAAGUGCAGGUGACUGCAGGGGCCCCAGGUGACCUCAGGAUCUACCUGUAACCUCUGCCCUCUAACGCUGGAGCUGCGGGCACAUGCAGCCAUGGCUCUGGCAUGGGUGCUUGUGGUUAGGACUUGGGCUCAUGUUUGCAGAGAAGGUGCUCUUACCCCUGGGCACUUCCCUAGUCCAACCUCACUCUAUCUAAAGAACACAGUUCUGCAAUUAAGCAUGCCAGUGUGCAGCUGGACUGAAACCUGCAAUCAGUCUCUAGGAUAGAAAUGAGGGUUGUUCUGGGUCUUCCCUGAUUUGAAGUAUGGCUGCAAUACCGGAGAGGAAUUGCUAGCCAGAUGAUUCACUCUUCAUUAUUAACCGCUCCUCCCCCAGACAGGAUUUUCACAUCCCCAAACAGUACACAACCUCCUCGUGCUGACAAAGGUAAGUGUGUGAAGAGCUGGAAGGCUGUUCCCGAUGUUCUGCCAUUGACUAAUUGACAUAAGAGGGAGCAGGGAGGGAGUCCCCCGUGGUCCACCCAGGGCAAUGCUCGUUUUAAUUAAUAUUUGGAAUGAGCACACAGAUGGCAGGACAAGCUCAUCUGAAGGAGACGCAAAGCUGCUCAGUGGGGGAGCUAAUAGGACAGGUGACAGAAUCAAGAUGUCACAAAACUCCUGACAGUUCGUAAUUGUGGGAUGUGUUAAUGAGAUUACACUCAAUGUGGACUAUGAAAACCUGGUGCUUAAGUAGAAAACACAAACCGCCGGCAGCGAGACCAGGUGCCGCAGAGCAGGAACGUCUUGACCCUAUUCGCAGAGACCUGACUCAGAGACGGAUGAGGCAGAGCCAAGCAACACCUACCUCAUCUGGUUGUCUGAGAACAUUCAUUAUGCAACUGCAUCUCCAUGUUCAGCACAGCACAUGCCUUGGUAAAGCUCUACUGCUGAAGACAUUACAAUGAGCUGGUGGAGGCUGCACCCCUGCUGAUGGCAUUCAGGUGACCAGAAGGCAUGACAGGGUUGGGUGAAGCACAUGUAACGUCACAGAGACCGGCUGCAUGCAUAAGACCUGUACAGGUUCAAACCAGACAAAAGCCCAGCACUGGGGAAGGGAUGCAGACACAAAAUCCCACCCUUAACCAAGAAGCUAUUUGCAACUGAUACCUGCUGGGAAGGGAAAGUCUGUUCUCUCCAAUGGAGUGUCAUUAGGUAUAUCAACCACACUCAACACCCAUGCCCAGGAGUAGUUGGUGUACACAAGAUGA